GUGGGGAAUAUUGGACAAUGGGCGAAAGCCUGAUCCAGCCAUGCCGCGUGUGUGAAGAAGGUCUUCGGAUUGUAAAGCACUUUAAGUUGGGAGGAAGGGUAGUAACCUAAUACGUUGCUACUUUGACGUUACCGACAGAAUAAGCACAGGCUAACUUCGUGCCAGCAGCCGCGGUAAUACUAAGGGUGCAAGCGUUAAUCGGAAUUACUGGGCGUAAAGCGCGCGUAGGUGGUUCAGUAAGUUGGAAGUGAAAUCCCCGGGCUCAACCUGGGAACUGCUUUCAAAACUGCUGAGCUAGAGUACGGUAGAGGGUGGUGGAAUUUCCGGUGUAGCGGUGAAAUGCGUAGUUAUAGGAAGGAACACCAGUGGCGAAGGCGACCACCUGGACUGAUACUGACACUGAGGUGCGAAAGCGUGGGGAGCAAACAGGAUUAGAAACCCCAGUAGUCC
rnacentral:rRNA from 1 species